AUUCAAUGAUGAUAAACCUUUUUUUCAGUUCUGCUUCUGACAAGUAGUGAAGAUAACCCUUUACCAAAGCUCAAAUAUCUGAAAC
rnacentral:snoRNA from 1 species